GACGAACGCUGGCGGCGUGCUUAACACAUGCAAGUCGUACGGUAAGGCCCUUUCGGGGGUACACGAGUGGCGAACGGGUGAGUAACACGUGAGUAACCUGCCCACAACUUUGGGAUAACGCUAGUAAACUGGUGCUAAUACUGGAUAUGUGCUCCUGCUGCCUGGUGGGGGUUGGAAAGCUCCGGCGGUUGUGGAUGGACUCGCGGCCUAUCAGCUUGUUGGUGGGGUAGUGGCCUACCAAGGCGGCGACGGGUAGCCGGCCUGAGAGGGUGACCGGGCACAUUGGGACUGAGAUACGGCCCAGACUCCUACGGGAGGCAGCAGUGGGGAAUAUUGCACAAUGGGCGCAAGCCUGAUGCAGCAACGCCGCGUGCGGGAUGACGGCCUUCGGGUUGUAAACCGCUUUCAGCAGGGACGAAGCUUUUUGUGACGGUACCUGCAGAAGAAGCACCGGCUAACUACGUG
rnacentral:rRNA from 1 species